AUUUAUUUUCUUAUGGAUAUAUACCCAGUAAUGGGAUAGCUGGAUAAAGUGGUAGUUCUACUUCUAGUUCUUUAAGGAGUCUCCACACUGUUCUCCAUAGAGGUUGUGCUGGUUUACAUUCCCAACAGCAGUGUAAAAGAGUUUCCUUUUCACUGCAUCCACAACAUCUAUU